AGAACCUGGAUGUGGCAGUCGCUCCUUCCGCGCAGACGCACCCAGACUUAAUUUACUUUCGUUUCCGCGGCAAAUUUCCCGAGGCCUGGCUCAAAAUCCACAGCAUAUGGAUCAGAAACAGUGAUGACUUUGCCCUGCUUGCUGAGUUCAUCCCCUGCCACAAGGAUCCUUUGAAAGACCCGGGUUCUUAUGCACAUAGAUGGUGUCCUUUUUAUUUUUAUGUUUUCCUGAAGAUUUUAUGGCUCCAAUCUGGAUAUUGCAAGAACAAGGAUCCUGUCAUAGCUCCGGAUUAUCUGCCAGCCCUAACCCCUCAAUCCUGACGUGGCCCUUCCCGGGCAAUGAAGCGCAAAAGGUCCCGAGGUUGUGGGCGGCCCUGCUGCAGCUGCUGCCCGUGCCCGCGCGAGGGCGCCAUAGAGUCAGCCCUACCUCACCCGCACCUAAGUAGUCCUCUGCGGCGCCGGCUUGUCACAUUUAAAGCCUUCAUUUUCUUCCUGUUAAUCCAUGGGUCCCUAAAUACCUUUUUUAGUCGGGCUCCCCCCUACUAUAUCCUUAAAUUGCACAAGAACUCUGGGGGCUUUCGCAGGGUUUUUGCUUCCAAACCUUGAGAUGUGAGAGACUUGGAAAGUCUGCUCUGUCUACCAGUACUGGUGUUUCUCUGACCCUGACGUUUGGGGGUUACUGUAGAGUAUACGGCCUGCAGCCCUCACCGAUAUUUGUUCACUGGGAUAGUCAUGCCCUAGAUGGAUCAGAGCAUUCAUGGUCCUCAGAUUCCCUACAGUGGGCUCCUGAGGGGUAACUCUUUCAGCUUUCAUUCACUCAGCCAUUGUCCCCAAAGCAGAACAUUCUACGAGAGUGGUUGGCAUCUAGAUUUACUAUGUCAUUCCUUUUUAAAAACAAACAACUUCACAUAUGUAAAAGUAAAUGUUAAAUAAAUAUGUGUUAAAUGAAUACUCAAGUACCCACCAUGUAAUUUAACAAACAUUAACAUGCCUUUAAAGACUUGUGUGGCCCUUUCCACUACAUUACUAUUCUGAAUAUUUCAUUAUAAUUCUACCACUUUAGUAUGUGUCCCCAAAUAAUUUAUUUGGCAUGUUUUUAUACUUAGUUUAAGUGAUAGUGUGACCUGGUUUUUUUCCCCCCACUCAGUUUAUGAUUGUGAAAUGUAUACACCUUGAUGUGGGUACCUGUAAUUAAUUUUUUAAUGGGUAGUAAAAUGAGUAAAUGCUCUAUUUCACACAGUGAAUUUUCUAAAGUUGGCUGUUUUAAUUUAGAUUAUAGUCUCUAUUUGCUAUUUUUGCCAAGAAUUUUAGUUCUACCUGCUUUUUAACUCUAUGAACUAACUGUAUGUAUAGUUACUGUUUUAUAUAGUCAUUGUUUGUCUAGACUCCCCCAUGUUUACAUUUUCCUUGCUCCCAUUUCCUAUUGCAUUUCAGGUCUUCCUCCCUUUUGGAGUCAUUGUCCUUCUGAAAGAAAUGCAGCUUUCAGAAAUUCCUCCAGUAAU